UGUCGUCACAGUGCAACGAAGUCUUCAGCAGAUCAUCAGAAUCCACAUCUUCUCCAACUUUUUUCUCCAUAAUGCUCACUCGGCCCUGACACACGACACAGAUUUAACGUUCCAACACAUAUCAUCACGGCGAUCCUCAGGCCGAUACCGGAGGAGCAGCCGGUGAUCAGAACCACUUUCUGUCCAGGACCCGCCAUGACCCUGUGCAUGCUGUGGGCAAAGCAAGAACCCGGCAGAAGAGAAG